AUUGAACGCUGGCGGCAGGCCUAACACAUGCAAGUCGAGCGAGUGGCGGACGGGUGAGUAAUGUAUGGGGACUGCCCGAUAGAGGGGGAUAACUACUGGAAACGGUGGCUAAUACCGCAUACUAUCGGAUAACCCAGAUGGGAUUAGCUAGUAGGUGGGGUAAAGGCUCACCUAGGCGACGAUCCAUAGCUGGUCUGAGAGGGUGAUCAGCCACACUGGGACUGAGACACGGCCCAGACUCCUACGGAGGCAGCAGUGGGGAAUAUUCCGCAAUGGACGAAAGCCUGAUGCAGCCAUGCCGCGUGAAUGAAGAAGGCCUUAGGGUUGUAAAGUACUGUCGGCAGAGAAGCGUUACCUAAAGAAGAAGCCCCGGCUAACUACGUGCCAGCAGCCGCGGUAAUUC
rnacentral:rRNA from 1 species